rnacentral:rRNA from 1 species
GACGAAGGAUGCAAGCGUUAUCCGGAUUCAUUGGGUUUAAAGGGAGCGUAGGCGGCCCUAUAAGUCAGUGGUGAAAUCUCUCGGCUUAACCGAGAAAUUGCCAUUGAUACUGUAGGGCUUGAGUACAGUUGCCGUUGGCGGAAUAUGACGUGUAGUGGUGAAAUACAUAGAGAUGUCAUAGAACACCGAUUGCGAAGGCAGCUAACGAAACUGUAACUGACGCUGAGGCUCGAAAGUGCGGGGAUCAAACAGG